rnacentral:rRNA from 1 species
CCCAGACUCCUACGGGAGGCAGCAGUGAGGAAUAUUGGUCAAUGGGCGAGAGCCUGAACCAGCCAAGUCGCGUGAGGGACGACGGCCCUACGGGUUGUAAACCUCUUUUGCCGGGGGACAAACGGCGGCACGCGUGCCGUCCUGAGGGUACCCGGAGAAAAAGCAUCGGCUAACUCCGUGCCAGCAGCCGCGGUAAUACGGAGGAUGCGAGCGUUAUCCGGAUUUAUUGGGUUUAAAGGGUGCGUAGGCGGAAUGCCAAGUCAGCGGUAAAAUCGCGGGGCUCAACCUCGCUCCGCCGUUGAAACUGGCGUUCUUGAGUGGGCGAGAAGUAUGCGGAAUGCGUGGUGUAGCGGUGAAAUGCAUAGAUAUCACGCAGAACUCCGAUUGCGAAGGCAGCAUACCGGCGCCCAACUGACGCUGAAGCACGAAAGCGUGGGUAUCGAACAGGAUUAGAUACCCCGGUAUA